CUUUUCACCAUUCUAGUGUCGAAAUAAUUAUUUAUGGAGCUACAAGAAUGUUAAUAGCUGUGUUGUUCAUAAACGACUAAAAACAAACUAAAGAUCCAAUAUUAAGGAGCUCAAAUAUUAUGUAAACAUUAAAAUAAUGGUAUAGAAGAAUGACAAGAUUGUACAAAUUUUAUUAAGUGAAGAAAAGAAUACAAAAUAGCAUGUACAGUACAAUCUCAUUUUUAUAUUAAAAUAAAUACACACUACCAAUUUUCUGGAAACACAAAGAACAAAGGAACACAAUAAACUAUCUCACAGGAUAUAAUUGGCAAGAUACAGACUAUGGGAAACUACAGAAUAACCCAGUUUCUCCAACUAAUGACUUGCAAGGAACAAAGAAAGUUAGGGAAGUAACCUACAGAUUAAACAAGAGACGGCCAGGCGCGGUGGCUCACCCAGGAACAGCAUUUUGUUGAUCAGAAAAUUAUU
rnacentral:lncRNA from 1 species